rnacentral:lncRNA from 1 species
GUACCUAAUCGCCCAGGACCACACUAUUUCUCCUACCUCAUUGCCCAUGAGACUCUCUCUUUCUCACUGCCAAGCUCUUUGCCAAAGCUCAUUGCCCAAACUCAUAGCCUGAGCUCAUCUCCCAAGCUCAUCGCCCAUGAGCUUUUCCUCUCUUCUCAUCGCCGUGCCUCAUCGCCCGACCUCAUCGCCUGAGAUCAUCUCCCGACCUCAUCACCUGACCUCAU